CCUACGGGAGGCAGCAGUGGGGAAUAUUGCGCAAUGGGGGAAAGCCUGACGCAGCAACGCCGCGUGAAUGAUGAAGGCCUUCGGGUUGUAAAAUUCUGUCUUCAGGGAAGAAAAAAAUGACGGUACCUGAGGAGGAAGCCCCGGCUAACUACGUGCCAGCAGCCGCGGUAAUA
rnacentral:rRNA from 1 species